CAGGCUGGCUGUUAUGAAUUCUGCUGGAGCAGCCCAUUGCAUUUUGGCAAGAGCAUCCACUUGGGACACCAAGUGGGCGGAACAGUAGUGCCAUGGACUGCGAAGGAAGAAGAGUAUGAAGAAGAGCGGCUGCUGGCUUCCUAGGCCCGUCCUCCAGCUUCUGGAACUUCAAGGGAUUUGACUUGAUUACAGGAAGUCCCAGCAAUUGCAAAAAGAUGAAAUUGUUGUCACCAUCCUACACACUGCCACUGAAUUCUUUUCUGAACACCAGUCCUGCUACUAACCCCCCAGUGUUUGCAGACUCUCUGGCAUGCAGUCUCUGUUUUGAGACCUUCAAGGAGGAACUGUGCACAGUGAAUCUUUGUGUUCCCAGAACUUACACCACUUGUGCAUAAGAGCCGGCCUGAUGCUGAAGGCCAUCUUCAUGUUAUAAAGUUGCUAGGUUCAGAGCUGGGGCCAUGGCAGCCCUAAGUAGUCAGACUCAGCCAUCAACUUCAGUGGGCUAGUUAGGCAACUAAAACAGCAAAAAACACACAGAGAAAAAGUGAGCCAGAGAGAAGGGGGUGGGGAAAGGGAGAGAGAGAGAGGGAGUGAGGGGGAGAAGAGGAAGGGAGAGGCAGAGACUGGGAGGGAGGGAAAGAGGAGAGAGAUGAGGGGGGAGAGAGAGGGAGGGAGAGAAGAGAGGGGAAGAGAAAGAGAGAAAAGAGAUAGAUAUAGAGAGAGGUAGGGAGAGAGAGGAGAGAAAAGAAAGGGAGAGGAAGAGAGGGGAUAGCUGGGAAGAAGGGGAGGAGAGAGAGGGAGGAAGAGAGAGAGAGGAGAAAGAAGAGAGGAGAGAGAGACAGAAGGACAGAGGGACAGAGCAGAGGAGGGAGAGGGAGGGAAACAGGAAGGAAGGGAGGGAGGGAGAGUUAUUUAUUCAAUGUGGCCACAUUAGGAAGAGAAUGAAAGUCACCAGUGAUUCUCCAAGUCCGUCUUCCAGGUGCUGACCUGAGGAUUAAGUUAAAACAGAGGGCAAGAGAUGAAGUAGAAAUUUCUGGUUUCUUUGGAGACUCAGUUGUGUCAUGUGUUUCCCAGAUAUUUUUCUGGAAACUAACUUAUGAGAAGAUGUUUUGCUGAGGACAGACAUUUGGUGUUUUCCUGGAAGCAGCCUGAUAAAAGGGUUGGUGAUGUUUUGCUGGAGCGGAUGCUUGAGAGGAGAGAGUAAAAGUAUAAUCCAGCAGACAGUGGAUGAUGCUCUGGCAUGGGCUCACCUUGCCCUUCUUUGCUGGUCUUCACUGGGCUUUGCUGACAGCACUCUGGUAUUGAUUAGCCUUCCUUUCUUGGCUGAUCAUUGUUUGUUGUGAUGGUGUUUGCAAAUGGAUCGAGCUACCUCUGCUAAUUCAUGUGAACUGAUCUGCUGAUAUCCUGACAGUGAAGAUUGCAAUCACCCCAAAGAACUACUUCUAAACAGGCCCACAUCCUCCUUUGCCCUAUUAACCUUUCCUUUCCACUACUUCUGGUGUGUGGUUGGCUAGAAGGAAGGUUAAAGCAUUUAAGAACCCUUAUUAAAGCAUGAUAGGUGAAGAGAUAUACAGAACUAAGCAGUUUCUGCUCAUAGUGUGGUCCUGCCCAUCCUCAUAGUCUUGGCUUUGUCUGUCCUACACGGAAUCUGACAAAUUGUCCAGAACUGUGGGAAAUUCUUACCAGGAUACAAGUUCCCUUUGGUACCAGACUUUGGGUUUUUCCCUCUCCUAUGAAGAUUCUCCAGGACAUUUCAGUAUUCUUGGGUUCAUUUUUUUUUCAAUAAUCCUUCACACAGAGGGCAUAAGUUCUUUCUAAAAUGUCCUCAAUUUUGCUAGGACUGUUAUAUCCAGGACUGUAAUUUUUCACAGUUCCAUGGUCUUUGAGUUAAAGCUAAGUGAAUCAGUGAUAGAGAUGGCUAGUCACUGACUAAGACCAGGGCUAUGGCUGACCCAGCCAGAACCCUUCCAGUUAGCAUCAACUAUCCCUUGUGGUCCCAGGGCUUCACUAUGACCAACCCUUGUGUUGCAAGUAUGUUCUAAGUGCUUGGAGGCUCCUCCCAGAGGUGGAGACGAGGGCUGAUCUCUCUUUGGGUGAACAGAAGACUAUGCUAAGGAUUGUUUGAGGUUGGGUGUGGAUUGUGUCAGGGCUUGGAGACCUGACAGACAAAACUUCAACUAGGAGCAAGUUUUAUUAAAAAAAAAGUGUGAAACUCAAGAGUAGGCAAAAAAACCUUGGCUCCACUUCCUUUGGUUAUCAUGCUAUGGUAUUUUCUAGUGAGUCCACCUGGGGCUCAUUGGGCUUUCUUAGAAGUAACUGUGUUCAGUGACAACUGAUUAAGAUUCAGAGGUUUACAACCCUGUGAAAUGAAAGGGUGGCUCAUACGGUCACAGGUACUUUGAAGUUGCCUUAGCUGAAAGCAGUUUCUCCUGUAGAGCCCUCAAGUUCACGUUAUCAGGAUGCAAGCCUGGUAUCACAGUCUUCCUUUUGCAUGUCUCUGCUUUCUUGAAACUUUGGAUGAAAUAUCUUAACUCUGCUUGGGGGUCUGCUAAUUACUAAGGAGUGUUUUUCAAGAUCCACUUAUUUUUAUGUGUAUGAGUACUUUGCCUGAAUGCAUGCAUGUAUACUGCUUGCCUGGCUGGUACCUGCAGAGACUGGGAGAGGAUGGUGGAUCUCCUGGAAUUGGAGUUAAGGAUGAUUUUAAGCCACAGUGUGCAAGUGGAAACAACACAGGUUCUAUUCCAGAACCCCAAGUGCUCUUAACAGAUGGGCCUCCUUUCUCCCUGCCCCAAGACUGGUUUCACAAAGAGCCCAGAACUCAUCUCAUUCCCCACAAGGAUGAAGUUACCAAGAUAAGUAGCUGAGGCAUGCAAGCUUUUAGGGGGUCUUGUUCUAUACUGUAGUCUAGUCUAUAGUCCUGUCCUAAACCAGCAGUCACCUCAGAUUUUAGGAGUAGCAGCUUUCCAAACAUCACCCCUUCAUGUGAUCACUCCAGAAGCAAAGAGGAAUGCUCUCAUGGGAACCAGCUUGCUCUAGCAAUAAGGACUCUUCAAACUACUCUGUUGCAGUUGCUAAUAAAUACUACUCAAAUCGACCAGGUGGCAGCCGUGCAUUUCUCGAUACCCACCCCAAUGUUCUGGGUUCCCAAAUGAAAGAAACAUGCACGCACGCACCCACGUGCCCGCGCGCACACAGCCUUAAACAGCUCAAUGGCUGGGCUACUUCCAAAUCUCCAUGAGGCUAACACACUGUCCCCUCCGGGAAUCCUGAGUUAUUAUUACUUACUGAGACCUAUAUUCCAUCUUUGCUGCCCUAGAUGCAGUCAUGGGGGCGCUGGGGCUGCUCUUCCCCAGCUCUCAUAUGUUGGCUGUCUCUCUGUCUUGCACUUCUCAGACAUGGAAUCUACUCCUCUCCUGGCAUGGCAGCUCCCUCCUUCUUCUUCCUUUGGUCCCUCACCCGGGAAUCCUAAAAGUCCCACUUCUAUGUCUCUGCCCAGCCAUUGGCCACCAGCAACUUUAUUUACCAAUCAAAACCAAAUGGGGACAGGAACCCUCAGUAUCUUAUACAUAGAGGCAUGGAGAUUCUCCUGCAAUUUUGGGGACCAAAUUAAUACAAUGCAUUGAGCAUCAAACCAAGUCCUCAACACUGCUCUGUAGAUCAGAAAAGAGGAGAUGACAGACAGAUGGCAUAGUGACUAGGAUUCCUUGCUCAUGCAUGCCUCUAACGCCCAAUUCUUCCUCCAUUUCACCAUAAAGAUUAUGUCAUCCCUCAGAAAUGGGCAGACACCCUCAGCUGUUGUCUUUCUGUGGGAGUUGUGCUGACUCAAUCUUCUCUGCCUUCCCUCACUUUGGGGUGAAGGGCUUGACUGGGCAUGUGAAAGCCCUGAGUCAGGCCUCUGCUCCAGGACUCCAGUUACAGUGGAAAAUGAAAAAUGUUCUGGUCUUGAUGCACAGCAACAAAGGUAAAGAUGAGGUUUUGUUGUCUAACACCAGCAAAAGAGAUUAAGAUAAUUACUUUGUAUGUCUGGUGUGUGUGUGUGUGUGUGUGUGUGUGUGUGUGUGUGUGUGUGCAUUUGCAUAUGUAUGUAUGCUGAGGAAUGCAGAGGCUAGACGUCGGCCUGGGGUGUUGUUCCUCUGGAGCUGUCCACCAUGUUAUUUUGAAACAGGGUCUCUCAUUGGACCUGAUGAUCUCCACUGAGUAGGUUAUGGUGGUCAACUAGCCAGUCCAGGGAUCCCUGUCUCUGCAUCUCCGCUUGCUUGCAUGCCCAUUGUUUUACUAGGGUGUUGGAGAUUAACCUCAGUUCCUCACACUUGCAUGGUAAGCACUUGUGCCUGAGCUACCUCUGUAGACCUCAGGAUGCUUUUACAAAAUUCUCUACCUUUUCUUAUAUUCUGCUUUCUGUUUUCUCUUUCCUGCCCUUGCUUCAUUAUAGGAUCCUUCGCACCCUCACCUCUCAUGACCCACUCUCUCACAGUGACAACCACAGCAGCUUGCUUCUGUUUUCUUGUUUCUUCCUGUCAGGUCAGAGGUGGAGCCUGCAUGUUCCCAACUCCAGAACAUGCCCCAGGGGCAUUCUUCAACAGUAAUAGUUAAUUUCUUUGUGAAUAGCACAGAAGAAUUCCCAUUGCAAAUCUGGCUCAUUGAGCCUCUGUAUGUUACUCCCUGCAGGAAGCAAUAUAUCUAUGUGUCCUUAACUGUUUCUGCAGAUCAGGGCAAAGCCAAAGUAGAGGGGAGAGGAAUAAAUUAUAGGAUGAAUGAAAAUAUACACAGGACCUCUGCAGUUUUGUCUGAAUCCAUCGCUAGGUUCUAAUCAAUAAAAUGUAUUUUUUUAUUAUUUGAUAGCCCACUCUAAUAUAAUAGGGCAAUAAAUACCGAUGAAAGUGUUCCCAGUGAGCAAUCCCUUUUGGAAUAAUGACUAUUUGAUUAUAGAAUGAUUUGGCUUUUAAUUUACACCAGUGCUUAAUGUGUUCUGUUAACUUAAUAUCCUCCCAGUGGUAAAAGUGCAGCCGCACUCCAAGGCAGUGAUGAAUGUAAACGCAGAGGGAGCCUCAUUAUGGAGUUGGAUCCUGUGUGGGCAUGUCAGAGUCCUGUGGCCUGCAGAGCCAGCUUCCUGCUGCUGGGGUGCUGCUUGGUCUGGCUGGGCCAGGGGUGGAGGAACACAGUGGAGGUGGCUGAGAUCUUGUUCUUUCUGUCCACCUCUUCCUUUGCUGAUUUGUGGGUGUAAAAUAAAUACACAAGGCAUCCAUUCAUCAAGAGAACUUUGAAAGCCUACUGUGUGGCAGCCAAGUUUAAGAGAAGUAUUAAGAGAAACAAAUCCAGAACGCUAAGGAUUGUGGGCCUUGGGAAAUCUCUCUGUGUGAUGAGAGUGGACACUGGCUCUGGGUGUCAGGGAAGCUGUAGUGAGAAGCUGGUUGCCUCUCCUUUCUGACUUCAGCUAUUAGUGACUUUCCCCAGCUUUGAUCACCAAGAGGCACAACUGCUGUACCCAAACUUUCUCAGAUGAAGCGUUUAACCUGUGAAUCCAAUGUCAUUUUUAGCUCAUUAAACACACAGGCUGUACUCAGCCUCAUGCUCACCUGUGUUAGCUCCUCCCACUGCUCCAUACUCCCUAGGCCACUGUCUUCCUGGCUUUGUGCAUCCUUAGACCCUCACUUGGCCCCCUGGGUGUUCCUGUUCGGCUUGUGUGGGCCCUGCUCUGAGACAGUUCUUGAAAGGGCAGCAGACGAGCAGACUUUCCCCUUCCAUAAUCCUGGCCCUCCAGAUGGUCACUGCGAGCUCAGAGGACAGUUCAAUAUUGACACAAAAUGAAACUUACAGUCAAGCUAAUCAAACGUGUGCAUAAUUACAUACACUAUGGUCAUUAUGCUUCUUGGUAAUGAGACAUGGGUGAUUAGCAGCUUUUGAGUGGCUGUAAUUAGGCUUGCUUGUUGGAGUCAGAGACUGUGCUGGGUGUGUGUGACUGUGUGUGUGCAAGCCCACACUUGUGUGUGUGUGCACUAGUGCAUAGGAAUGUGUGCAUGUGAAUCUGUGCAAGUGUGCAUUUGCAUCAGUGUGCAUGUGUGUGCAAGUGUGAAUGCAUGAGUGUGUGAGUACCUGUGUGCAUGUGAAUAUGUGUGUGAGCAUGCAUGGGGAGAGAGAGUGCUGGAGCAGAGGGAAGAGCUUUGGCCCCUUACAGUGCACAGGGAAAUGGUGUCUUCAAUAACACCAGUUAUGCCCGCAUACUUUAUCCACCUCACUGGCUCCUCCCUGCUGAGCAUCCCUAAAGCACUUUCCCAGUCUCUUUUAAAACUUUUUAUCCCUUCCUCUGAUUGAAGAAGAGUAGGGCCUCAACAGGCCAGCUACUCUCAUGGAAAAGAAAGCCUCUGCUUCAAGUUUCCUCUGGGUGUGUCCCUGGCAGCUCCUUGGAUGGGCAGGCAGGGCUAGUGGAGCCUUAGGGUGGAUUGUGAAGAGCUGAGCCAGUGUGUCUCAGUCUCUGACUGAGGAGGUGUUGCUUGGGGUCAUCUUUGUCUGACUUACAUUUGUGUUCAUUCUCUCCUACCACAGUAGUAAUCUAGUAAGGGAUUACUCACUAACCAUCUGAUGAAUUCAGAUGCUCCUAUGUAGAGGGUCCUCCAUAUCAGGUACUCAGUAUACUACAGGGAAGUUAACCUUGAAUAUGAGCUUACAUGAAUAAUCAACAAAACGUGUGUGUGUGUGUGUGUGUGUGUGUGUGUGCGUGUGCGUGUGCGUGUGCGUGUGCGCAUGCAUGAGAGAGAGAGAGAGAGAGAGAGAGAGAGAGAGAGAGAGAGAGAGAAAAGAGACCAUCUUGCAGAAAGAACAGAAGAACAAUAGAUUUGCUUCCCAGCACUGGAGGAAGCAGACAUUUUAUAAACAUACUUAAAGUGUUAAAACACACCAAAAAGCCACAUGGAGCCAUAACACAUAGCAGGCACAUCUUAAAGAUAACCAGAAAGUAAUCUUAUAACUAAUCAUUAUGUUACAGUUGUAGAACAAGAGACAGAGAAGAGGAACAAGAAUAACAGGAAGAGCUUUGUAAAUCAGAAGAUAGAUCCAGGGAAACUGACCUUAGUGUAGAACAAAUUAAAUAAAAAAAAAUAAAAAAAAAGAAUGUUGCACACAGGAAAGAGGACAGAAGGCAAAUAUUUCUUUGAUUAUUUUUUUUCCCCUGCUUUUAGACCCGCUAUAGUUUUCUUUCCAUUCUUGGUAGCUAGGUAGAUUUCAACUUCAUGUGCACUGAAGUAGCAAGGAGCACAUUUUGGGUUCCAAAAGAAUCCAUUGUGAGCUAUUCUGAAAGAGUAGUAAACUCAGUGCUCCAAGGUAUGCUAAUCAUAAAACAGAUAGUGACAUUCCUCCACCCACCCACUUCCUGAGUUCAAGGAGUAUUCAUUCAAAGAAAGUCACCCUGACCAUACUAGAAGCUGCAAUGCAAAUGUGCUAUUGUUAGGAGCUCUUAGAAACUUUCUUGAGAGUUAACAAUUACCAGGUAUUCCUUGUGACACCUGUGACUUUGUACUUCCUUGUGACUCUUAUCUGGUAUUUUUGGUAUUUUCCAACAACGCCCUUCCCACCUCCUUGAGUUGUGGUUUUUUCCUUUAAAUACCCCCUUACUCAGCUACUCGGGGCGCCACAGUCCUCUACCCCUGCGUGGUGUAUGACCGUGGGCCCGAGAGCGCUCUUGAAUAAAAAUCCUCUUGCAAUUUGCAGCAAGACCGUUUCUCGUUGGUGAUUUUGGGGUGUCGCCUCUCCUGAGUCAGAACGUGGGGGAGUCCUCACGUUGUGGGUCUUUCAAUUCCUUUGAAGCAGUGAUCGUUAAGCACAUUGACCGAAAGCAAGUUGGAGUUAGACAGUGAGUGCACCUGUCACCUGGCUCACUCAGAAAGGUUGUUUUGGGGAGGGAUUUUGAAACCCGAAGUCUCUCUCUCUCUCUCUCUCUGUCCUUCUAUUGUUACAGGAAAAUGGGAAAGAGAAACACACCCUCAGAAUAGCCAGUAGAGACUGAGUAGGGAUUGAAAGUAUUUAUUUACUCUGGUCGAGUCAGGGGUACCUGCUGGAAAUCUCAGCCCGUGGUCCACGGCUUCUUGCAUAGCUAUAGGGCACUCAAGGUCAUACCAGACCCUUCUGUUGUUGAUGGGUUUAAAUUAUAGCCUAUGUGACAAGGGCCAUGCAUGGGAAAUGAGCCUAUGUGAUGAAGGACCAAGAGCAGGAAAUUCCAGCAGCAAGCACAUUAACAGGAGUGGAAAGAAGGUCAAGCCAUGCAGGUCCUUCACCGGCAGCCACAAUGUAAGGCAAGGCACUGUGGUUACUUCCCAAUGGACUCUAGCCUUUUCCUAACUGACUACAAUAGUAUUAUUUAAUAAGUAAAUUGUGUUACUAUAUAUAAACUAAAGUGUGGUUUAAAAAUGUUGCAGGCCAGGCGUGGUGGCACACACCUUUAAUCUCAGCACUUGGGAGGCAGAGGCAGAUGAAUUUCUGAGUUUGAGGCCAGCCUGGUCUACAAA
rnacentral:lncRNA from 1 species